rnacentral:rRNA from 1 species
CACGUAGGGCGCAAGCGUUGUCCGGAAUUAUUGGGCGUAAAGAGCUCGUAGGUGGUUUGUUACGUCUGCUGUGAAAACCUAGGGCUUAACCCUGGGCUUGCAGUGGAUACGGGCAGGCUGGAGUUCGGUAGGGGAGACUGGAAUUCCUGGUGUAGCGGUGAAAUGCGCAGAUAUCAGGAGGAACACCGGUGGCGAAGGCGGGUCUCUGGGCCGAUACUGACGCUGAGGAGCGAAAGCGUGGGGAGCGAACAGG